GCUAAAAAUUUAGCCCCAACCACCCAAAUGCCACACAAAAAUCCCACCACACCAACUAAAACAUUCCCACAUUUUAGUAAAGGCGAUUGAAAAAUUUCUUGGAGCUACAUAACACAGUACCGCAAGGGAAAAAUGAAAUAAAAAUGAAACAACUAUCAAGCAUAAAAAAGUAGAGAUAAACCCUCGUACCUUUUGCAUCAUGGUUUAACUAGUUCAAUCAAGCAAAAUGAUUUAAAGUUUGACUUCCCGAAACUAGACGAGCUACUUCAAGGCAGCUUAAUGAGCAAACCCGUCUCUGUUGCAAAAGAGUGGGAAGACCUUCAAGUAGGGGUGACAGACCUAACGAGCCUAGUGAUAGCUGGUUACUCAAGAAAAGAAUUUAAGUUCAACCUAAAAUUAACCCAAUAUCGUAAAAUACAACCCUAAUUUUAGAGCAAUUCAAAUAAGGUACAGCCUAUUUGAAAAAGGACACAACCUCAACCACCGGGUAAUUUAAACCAACGCCUAACAAAGUGGGCCUAAGAGCAGCCAU
rnacentral:rRNA from 1 species